rnacentral:rRNA from 1 species
UACGUGAGGGGGCAAGCGUUGUCCGGAAUUAUUGGGCGUAAAGAGCUCGUAGGCGGUUUGUCGCGUCUGCUGUGAAAACUGGAGGCUCAACCUCCAGCCUGCAGUGGGUACGGGCAGACUAGAGUGCGGUAGGGGAGAUUGGAAUUCCUGGUGUAGCGGUGGAAUGCGCAGAUAUCAGGAGGAACACCGAUGGCGAAGGCAGAUCUCUGGGCCGUAACUGACGCUGAGGAGACGAAAGCAUGGGGAGCGAAACAGG